UGCUGUGAGGACAUUGAAGCAGCCCUGCGGAGAGGCCAUGUGGCAAGGAACGAUGGCUGCCUGCCGAAAGCCAUGUGUGGGAGCUUGGAAGAGGGCUCUUCUAGACCCAGGCAAGCCUUUAGAUGACUGUACCCUCAGGAGGAACUUGGACAGAAUUACCCUGCUAAGCUGGAUUCCUCAUCGACUGAAAUUGUGAGGACAACAAGCACAGAGAAAGAGACGAGUCGUGAGCAGCCCAGGAGUGGUCAAAGUGCGCCUGUGGGAAAAGCCACCACCAGACUCAGCGCAUUCCCUCUGCCUGCCCUUCAGCAACUCUGCAGAGCAAAAGCGGACACCUCCCCUGCUCUUGAAAACUCUCAAUGGUCAAGAAGCUUUGUCAAGUCCUCAUGAGCCUUGCACAGUGCCAGGUGCUGUACCUAAUCCAUGUAGGACGUGCCUGCUUCCGCUUCACCUUCUGCCACGAUUGUAAGCUUCCCGGGCCUCCACAGCCAUGCUUCCUGUACCGCCGGCAGAAC